AGGUUUUUCACAUCGGGCGAAACCCCGACCCCGCCACGCCGCGUGGUGUGAAGGCUUCGGGUUUUAAACUCUUUUUGCCGGGGGAAAAAACGGCGUGCGCGUUAAUUGAAGGUACCUGGGUCAAUAAGCCACGGCUAACUACUAGCCCGCAGCCGCGGUAAUAAUAUAAA
rnacentral:rRNA from 1 species